rnacentral:rRNA from 1 species
UACGUAGGGUGCAGGCGUUAAUCGGAAUUACUGGGCGUAAAGCGUGCGCAGGCGGUUUCUUAAGUCAGAUGUGAAAUCCCCGGGCUCAACCCGGGAACUGCGUCCGAUACUGGAAGGCUUGAAUCCGGGAGAGGGAUGCGGAAUUCCAGGUGUAGCGGUGAAAUGCGUAGAUAUCUGGAGGAACACCGGUGGCGAAGGCGGCAUCCUGGACCAUGACUGACGCUGAGGAGCGAAAGCCAGGGGAGCAAAGCGGG